rnacentral:rRNA from 1 species
CCUACGGGAGGCUGCAGUGAGGAAUAUUGGUCAAUGGCCGGAAGGCUGAACCAGCCAUGCCGCGUGAAGGUCAGUGCCCUACGGGUUGUAAACUUCUUUUAUAAAGGAAUAAAGUGAGGCACGUGUGCCCUUUUGUAUGUACUUUAUGAAUAAGGAUCGGCUAACUCCGUGCCAGCAGCCGCGGUAAUACGGAGGAUCCGAGCGUUAUCCGGAUUUAUUGGGUUUAAAGGGAGCGUAGAUGGGUUGUUAAGUCAGUUGUGAUAGUUUGCGGCUCAACCGUAAAAUUGCAAUUGAUACUGGCAGUCUUGAGUACAGUUGAGGUAGGCGGAAUUCGUGGUGUAGCGGUGAAAUGCUUAGAUAUCACGAAGAACUCCGAUUGCGAAGGCAGCUUACUAAACUGCCACUGACAUUGAUGCUCGAAAGUGUGGGUAUCAAACAGGAUUAGAUACCCGAGUAGUC